rnacentral:rRNA from 1 species
GACGAACGCUGGCGGCGUGCUUAACACAUGCAAGUCGAGCGAUGAAGUUGUUUCGGAAAUGGAUUAGCGGCGAACGGGUGAGGAACACGUGAAGAAUCUGCCCUCCACUUUGGGAUAACACAGGGAAACCUGUGCUAAUACCGAAUAUUGAAACAUAAGUGGCAUCACUGAGUUUUGAAAGAAUUUCGGUGGAGGAUGACUUCGCGGCCUAUCAGCUAGUUGGUGAGGUAAUGGAUCACCAAGGCAACGACGGGUAGCCGGCCUGAGAGGGCGACCGGCCACCCUGGGACUGAGACACGGCCCAGACUCCUACGGGAGGCAGCAGUGGGGAAUAUUGGGCAAUGGAGGAAACUCUAACCCAGCGACGCCGCGUGCGGGAUGAAGGCCUUCGGGUUGUAAACCGCUUUCAGUAGGGAAGAAGCGAAAGUGACGGUACCUACAAAAGAAGCACCGGCUAACUAUGUGCCAGCCGCCGCAGUAA